rnacentral:rRNA from 1 species
GCCCAGAUGGCUUAAUACAUGCAGUCGAAGGGUAAGGUUUCUUCGGAGAACACGAGUGGCGCACGGGUGCGUAACGCGUAUGCAACCUACCUUUAACUGGGAGAUAGCCCCGAGAAAUCGGGAAUAAUACCCCAUAAUAUUCAAAACACACCUGUUUUUUGAAUCAAAGUUCCGGCGGUUAAAGAUGGGCAUGCGUGGCAUUAGCUAGUUGGUAAGGUAACGGCUUACCAAGGCGAUGAUGCCUAGGGGUUCUGAGAGGAUAUACCCCCACACUGGUACUGAGACACGGACCAGACUCCUACGGGAGGCAGCAGUAAGGAAUAUUGGGCAAUGGACGCAAGUCUGACCCAGCCAUGCCGCGUGCAGGAUGACUGCCCUAUGGGUUGUAAACUGCUUUUAUACGGGAAAAAAAUAUCCGACGUGUCGGAAGCUGAUGGUACCGUAUGAAUAAGCAUCGGCUAACUCCGUGCCAGCAGCCGCGGUAAUACGGAGGAUGCAAGCGUUAUCCGGAUUUAUUGGGUUUAAAGGGUGCGCAGGCGGAAUGAUAAGUCAGUGGUGAAAGCUUCCGGCUCAACCGGAAAAUUGCCAUUGAUACUAUCGUUCUUGAGUACAGUUGAGGUAGGCGGAAUGUGUCAUGUAGCGGUGAAAUGCUUAGAUAUGACACAGAACACCGAUAGCGAAGGCAGCUUACCAAAUUGAAACUGACGCUCAUGCACGAAAGCGUGGGGAUCAAACAGGAUUAGAUACCCUGGUAGUCCACGCUGUAAACGAUGAUCACUCGCUGUUGGCAAUACACAGUCAGCGGCUAAGCGAAAGCAUUAAGUGAUCCACCUGGGGAUACGGCGGCACGUUG